GAUGAACGCUGACAGAAUGCUUAACACAUGCAAGUCAACUUGAACUUCGGUUUGGGUGGCGGACGGGUGAGUAACGCGUAAAGAACUUGCCUCACAGAUAGGGACAACAUUUGGAAACGAAUGCUAAUACCUGAUAUUAUGAUUUUAGGGCAUCCUAGGAUUAUGAAAGCUAUAUGCGCUGUGAGAGAGCUUUGCGUCCCAUUAGCUAGUUGGAGAGGUAACGGCUCACCAAGGCGAUGAUGGGUAGCCGGCCUGAGAGGGUGAUCGGCCACAAGGGGACUGAGACACGGCCCUUACUCCUACGGGAGGCAGCAGUGGGGAAUAUUGGACAAUGGACCAAGAGUCUGAUCCAGCAAUUCUGUGUGCACGAUGAAGUUUUUCGGAAUGUAAAGUGCUUUCAGUUGGGAAGAAAAAAAUGACGGUACCAGCAGAAGAAGUGACGGCUAAAUACGUG
rnacentral:rRNA from 1 species